GAUGACCUCUGGCGGCAUGCCUAAUACAUGCAAGUCGAACGAGAGGAAGGAAAGCUUGCUUUCCUAAAUCUAGUGGCGAACGGGUGAGUAACACGUAGGUAACCUGCCCAUGUGCCCGGGAUAACUUCUGGAAACGGAUGCUAAAGCCGGAUAGGUAGCAGACAAGCAUUUGACUGCUAUUAAAGUGGCUAAGGCCAUGAACAUGGAUGGACCUGCGGUGCAUUAGCUAGUUGGUGAGGUAACGGCCCACCAAGGCGACGAUGCAUAGCCGGCCUGAGAGGGCGGACGGCCACAUUGGGACUGAGACACGGCCCAAACUCCUACGGGAGGCAGCAGUAGGGAAUUUUCGUCAAUGGGGGGAACCCUGAACGAGCAAUGCCGCGUGAGUGAGGAAGGUCUUCGGAUCGUAAAGCUCUGUUGUAAGAGAAAAACGGCACUCAUAGGGAAUGAUGAGUGAGUGAUGGUAUCUUACCAGAAAGUCACGGCUAACUACGUACCAGCAGCCGCGGUAAUACGUAGGUGGCGAGCGUUAUCCGGAAUGAUUGGGCGUAAAGGGUGCGUAGGUGGCAGAUCAAGUCUGGAGUAAAAGGUAUGGGCUCAACCCGUACUUGCUCUGGAAACUGAUCAGCUAGAGAACAGAAGAGGACGGCGGAACUCCAUGUGUAGCGGUAAAAUGCGUAGAUAUAUGGAAGAACACCGGUGGCGAAGGCGGCCGUCUGGUCUGGAUUCUGACACUGAAGCACGAAAGCGUGGGGAGCAAAUAGGAUUAGAUACCCUAGUAGUCCACGCCGUAA
rnacentral:rRNA from 1 species